rnacentral:rRNA from 1 species
UACGUAGGGUGCAAGCGUUGUCCGGAAUUAUUGGGCGUAAAGAGCUCGUAGGUGGCCUGUCGCGUCGGCUGUGAAAACUCGGGGCUCAACUCCGAGCUUGCAGUCGAUACGGGCAGGCUAGAGUUCGGCAGGGGAGACUGGAAUUCCUGGUGUAGCGGUGAAAUGCGCAGAUAUCAGGAGGAACACUGGUGGCGAAGGCGGGUCUCUGGGCCGAUACUGACACUGAGGAGCGAAAGCGUGGGGAGCGAACAGG